AGUGAAGCGGCAACAGCUCAAAUUUGAAAUCUGGCCCCCAGGGCCCGAGUUGUAAUUUGCAGAGGAUGCUUUUGGCGCGGUGCCUUCCGAGUUCCCUGGAACGGGACGCCAUAGAGGGUGAGAGCCCCGUCUGGUCGGACGCCUAGCCUGUGUAAAGCUCCUUCGACGAGUCGAGUAGUUUGGGAAUGCUGCUCUAAAUGGGAGGUAUAUGUCUUCUAAAGCUAAAUACCGGCCAGAGACCGAUAGCGCACAAGUAGAGUGAUCGAAAGAUGAAAAGCACUUUGAAAAGAGGGUUAAAUAGUACGUGAAAUUGUUGAAAGGGAAGCGCUUGUGACCAGACUUGGGCCCGGUGGAUCAUCCAGCGUUCUCGCUGGUGCACUCCGCCGGGUUCAGGCCAGCAUCAGUUCGCCGCGGGGGAAAAAGGCUUCGGGAACGUGGCUCCUACGGGAGUGUUAUAGCCCGUUGCAUAAUACCCUGGGGCGGACUGAGGUUCGCGCUCCGCAAGGAUGCUGGCGUAAUGGUCAUCAGCGACCCGUCUUGAAACACGGACCAAGGAGUCGUCUUCGUAUGCGAGUGUUCGGGUGUAAAACCCCUACGCGUAAUGAAAGUGAACGCAGGUGAGAGCUUCGGCGCAUCAUCGACCGAUCCUGAUGUUCUCGGAUGGAUUUGAGUAAGAGCAUACGGGGCCGGACCCGAAAGAAGGUGAACUAUGCCUGUAUAGGGUGAAGCCAGAGGAAACUCUGGUGGAGGCUCGCAGCGGUUCUGACGUGCAAAUCGAUCGUCAAACCUGGGCAUGAAG
rnacentral:rRNA from 1 species